CUACACCACUCUCUUUGAGCCCAUUGUUAUUGAUGAUGAUGAUGAUGAGAUUGAAUAUUUUACAGAAGACAAAAAGCAGGACCUGCCCCCAGAAGAACAUUUACAAACAAACGUGCAGCCACAUGAUAUUAUUGCAGAACUGGCCAAGAAUAUUGACCACAAGAAAGUCAGCCGGUUCAACAUAUGUCGUACUGAUGUGUGGGAUGGAGCUGAGCUGUUCGGGGCUUUCAGAGGAGCACAUACUCCGACAAGAAUGACAUGUUCAUCAAAUUUAACGAUGAUGCUGGCUGUUUGGAGGAAGGGUUGGACACAGGUGGCCCGAGGCGUGAGUUUCUCACACUUCUUAUGGCCAUUCUGAGAAAUCGUCCUAUCUUUGAUGGACCCCCAGAAGCUCGUUACGUUGGGUGCAAUUCGAGAGGUGAGUCAUUUUUGGGUUAGUGAACCUAACUAACCUUAGUUAGUGAAGUGGUAGUACUUCUAAAAUAAAAAUUUGCAGAAACAUGUGCUUAUGUGUCUGUCAUAAGCAGAUCUAAGAUUUAAUUACCCACAGUAAUAAUUUGCUCUGUACAACAGCUGCCAGGGAAGAUGAGUAUUUUUUAGCAGGAAAGAUGAUUGCUGUAUCGAUUGUACAUGGGGGACCGGCACCACAUUUUCUCUCAAAGAACCUGGUCAACUACAUGAUAGGGAAUCCAAGUUUCAGCGCCACUGUUGAAGAUGUUCAAGAUGAGGAGAUAGGGAAAGUUCUAAAGCAGGUAGGAAAUGACCUAGGUUUAGGAAAUAGAUUUAUUGUAUGCCAACUGGAGAUUAUUUUCACGUUCAGAUUAAGAUUAGGAAAUUAUUAUAACAAAAUAGUAAUUUCGUUUUCUCAAAGCUUGACAAAUCUUUUUGUUUUGAAAGGCCUGAUUUCAGCCUAUCUCAAGAAAUGUGAAAUCACAAAUGCACAAAAUGUUUAUGCUAUUUUUGUAUUCAUAACGAAGAAGUUGUCAAAUUGAUAGUUCUGUACUUCUUCUUAUAAUAAACUGCUUGUUUUAUAGGUCCUGGAAGCUGAAUCAGAUGAAUCUCUGCUAAAUAUAAUUUUUCAAAACAGCGGGAUGUUCCAAACUGCUGGUUGCUUCAGAAGUGUGAAGAUUUCUGAGAAGAAAACUUUUGUAGAGGAGUAUCUCAGAUGGUACAUCCUUGACAGAAACCACAGUGCCAUUCAACGAUUCAAAGAUGGACUGGCAAGUCUGGGGUUUUUCGCUGCACUGCAACAGCAUUCCAGUGUCCUGUCCCCAGUCCUAUGUUUCUCUGCCAAGGCCCUGACUGCUUCAGACUUGGAGACCAUGUUCAAACCAGAUCUCAGCCCAGUAGGAACCAAUAGGCGGCAAAAGGAGGGCAAAACUAUCGUCUUCUGGGCAGAUUAUUUGCUUGAUUGCGAAGAGAAAAACACUGCUGUAUGUCUAGAGGAAGUCCUGAUGUUUGCUACAGGUCUGACAGCGAUUCCACCAGCAGGCAUGAUGCCAUCCCCACAUCUUGAGUUUUUGAGUGAUUCACCCUUUCCUGUUGCAAACACCUGUGCAAAUACACUGAAACUGCCACUUUUGGAAUCUUACGCUGCUUUUAGGGCUAACAUGGACUUUGGAAUACAAAAUGCUCCGGGAUUCGGAUGCUACUGAAACUGAAAGAAGAGAUUUCUUGGCAGUCUUGUUCUAAUGCUGUUGGCAUUCAGCUAAUUUUGUGAUGGUUGCUCCAUGGGUCCAUGUUGUUCUCCAUUUCUGGGUGGCAAAGCCUUGCCAUAAUUUCUGAAAAGAUUAGAUAAUAUGAUGUCCUUUUCAAAGUGAUAGCUUUGAAAGGGACAUCAGCUCAUGAAGACAACAAUCCGUUAGGGCAAAUUCUGUAUUUUUUUUUAGAGUGGUGUAUGUCUGGUUUAGGCUCACGGUCCGGGCAUUUCUAAUAUGUCCAUAAUAUAGUUUUUUGUAUCAUCUUAAAAGGGGAUACACUCGGCUUUCAUUUAAGCCAAGUUUUGAAUCUGACCAACUCAGGUCACCAGAGCUUGUUAAAACAAAAUAACAUGAAUCCUUUUCGCCUAACCAAGAAACAUUGUUUGUAAUCCAAUGGUAUCCAGGGACACAAGAGUUGACAACUGAAAUACUCAGACUAAGAAAUCCUGAAAUGUACCAAAUCUAUACUACCAUGCAGUCAUGUUUUUAUGUGGUUAUUAUGGAUUACAUAAUGGUGGACUAAUCUAAAAAACAGUAUAUGGUAUACAUUUCCAGAUUUCUUAGUCUGAGUAUUUCAGUUGUCAACUCUUGUGUCCCUGAUGUCCCUGGAUACCACUGGACUAAAAACAAUGUUUCUUGGUAAGGCAAAAAGAGUUUGUGUUAUUUCUGUUUAACAAGCUGUGGUGACCUCCGAGUUGGUCAGAUUCGAAGCUUGGCUUAAAUGAAAGCCGAGUGUAUUCCCUUUUAAAAUGAUACAAAAUUUUAUAUUGUAGAGCUUUGACAAAUGCCCGUAUCGUGAGCCUAAACCAGACAUACACCAGUCUCAAAUAACAGAAUUUGCCCAAAGGGAUUGUUGACUUCAUGAGCUGAUAACUAUGAAUAAACUGCCACUUUAGAAGGGCUAU